UACAGAGGGUGCGAGCGUUAAUCGGAAUUACUGGGCGUAAAGCGUGCGUAGACGGUAGCGUAAGUCAGAUGUGAAAGCCCCGGGCUCAACCUGGGAAUUGCAUUUGAGACUGCUCUGCUCGGGUGCGGAAGAGGGAAGCGGAAUUUCCGGUGUAGCGGUGAAAUGCGUAGAUAUCGAAAGGAACACCAGUGGCGAAAGCGGCUUCCUGGUCCGACACCGACGUUCAGGCACGAAAGCGUGGGGAGCAAACAGG
rnacentral:rRNA from 1 species